rnacentral:rRNA from 1 species
AGUGAACGCUGGCGGCGGGCCUAAUACAUGCAAGUCGAGCGAACAGACAAUGAGCUUUCGCCUUUGACGGUAGCGGGUGACGGGUGGGUAACACGUAGGUAGCCUACCUAUAAUACUUGGGUGACUUCGUGAAACCGGAUCUGAUACCAGAUAAUAUUUCGAACGGCAGGAUUCAAUAGUGAAAGAUGGCUCUCGUGUCAGUUAUAGAUGGAGCUGUGUCGUAUUAGCUAGUUGGUAAGGUAACGGCUUACCAAGGCAACGAUCCGUAGCUGAGCUGAGAGGGUGAUCAGCCACACUGGAACUGAGACACGGUCCAGACUCCUACGGGAGGCAGCAGUAGGGAAUAUUCCGCAAUGGGCGCAAGCCUGACGGAGCAACGCCGCGUGAGUGAUGAAGGUCUUCGGAUCGUAAAACUCUGUUAUUAGGGAAGAACAACAGCGUAAGAAAAUGCCCCCGUCCUGACGGUACCUAAUCAGAAAGCAACGGCUAACUACGUG